GAAUUUAAGUUAAAAUUAAAACUAUAAACCUUCAAAGUUUAAAAUAAAAAAAAUUAAUUCUUA
rnacentral:tRNA from 1 species